rnacentral:rRNA from 1 species
UACAGAGGUCCCGAGCGUUGUUCGGAUUCAUUGGGCGUAAAGGGUGCGUAGGCGGCGGGGCAAGUCUGAUGUGAAAUCCUGGGGCUCAACCCCAGAACUGCAUUGGAUACUGCUUUGCUAGAGGACUGGAGAGGAGACUGGAAUUUACGGUGUAGCGGUGAAAUGCGUAGAUAUCGUAAGGAAGACCAGUGGCGAAGGCGGGUCUCUGGACAGUUCCUGACGCUGAGGCACGAAGGCCAGGGGAGCAAACGGG